UAAAAAGAUGGCCGACCGGCGAUCCGCCGUCGUUACUUGAAUGACUCGGCGGGAAGCCUCCGGGAAACCAGAAUGUUUGGGUUCCGGGGGAAGUAUGGUUGCAAAGCUGAAACUUAAAGGAAUUGACGGAAGGGCACCACCAGGAGUGGAGCCUGCGGCUUAAUUUGACUCACCACGGGAAAUCUCACCAGGCCCGGACACCGGAAGGAUUGACAGAUUGAAAGCUCUUCCUUGAUUCGGUGGGUGGGGGUGCAUGGCCGUUCUUAGUUGGUGGAGCGAUUUGUCUGGUUAAUUCCGAUAACAAACGAACUUCUGGCCUACUAACAAUUCGUUGGAUCUCUUUGUGGGUCCAUCUCUUAUUCUUAUAGGGACGGGCGGCGUUUACCCGCACGAAAAUGAGCAAUAACAUGUCUGUGAUGCCCUUAUAUGUUCUGGGCUGCACGCGCGCUACACUGAAGGAAUCUGUGUGUGUACCCUGUCCGAAAGGACUGGGAAACCCGAUUAACCCCCUUCGUGAUGGGGAUUGUGGAUUGCAUUUAUUCCCCAUGAAAGAGCAUUCCCAUUAGGCGCGAGUCAUAAGCUUGCUUCGAUUACUUCCCUGUCCUUUGUACACACCGCCCGUCUCUCCUAUCAAUCGAGUGAUCAAGUGAGAACAUUCGGAUCGUUCUUCGCUAUGGUUUCGAGACGUGGCGAAGGAACCCAACGAUGCCCAACUUGAUUCAACUAGAGGAAGAAAAGUCGUACUAAGGUGCCGUAGUCGACCUACGGAAGGAGCAGGGUGAUUCAUCUACCCUGCUAGACUCUUCCCUUAGGUUAGUGUUAAUCUUGACUUUGAUGUAAUCGUGGCUUAUCUGGUUUCUGGA
rnacentral:rRNA from 1 species